rnacentral:lncRNA from 1 species
UUUUGUCUCUAUUAUUAACACUAACUAUCCAGAUAUUAAUAUUCUCUUCAAGGAAACUUUUGAUAAGUCCUAAUGACCACUGAAAAUUCAUAAGCAUGGCCAUGAUUAGACAACACGCUCCUGACCUGAGGGGAGAAACUCUCUCCUAAGAGAAUAGAUUAUCUUUCAUUUCUGCUGAAAUUCUGGGUGUGAAUCUCGAUCGCAUUAAACAUCUUCAUUCACUCAG